rnacentral:rRNA from 1 species
AGAGUUUGAUCCUGGCUCAGAGUGAACGCUGGCGGCAUGGUUAAGACAUGCAAGUCGAACGAAAAGCAAAUCUUCGGAUUUGUGGAAAGUGGCGAACGGGUGCGUAACACGUGAGCAACCUGCCCUAAAGUGCGGAACAGCCUGUCGAAAGAUGGAUUAAUGCCGCAUGUGGCUCUUCUUCGCAUGGAGAAGUAGCUAAAGCUUGUAAUGGCGCUUUAGGAUGGGCUCGCGGCCUAUCAGCUUGUUGGUAAGGUAACGGCUUACCAAGGCUAAGACGGGUAGCUGGUCUGAGAGGAUGAUCAGCCACACCGGGACUGAGACACGGCCCGGACACCUACGGGUGGCAGCAGUUUCGAAUCAUUCACAAUGGGCGAAAGCCUGAUGAUGCAAUGCCGCGUGGAGGAUGAAGGCCUUAGGGUCGUAAACUCCUGUCAUUGGGGAACAACAAGUAGGUUCAUAGCCUAUCAUGAGUUAACCCAAAGAGGAAGAGGUGGCUAACUCCGUGCCAGCAGCCGCGGUAAUACGGAGACCUCGAGCGUUACUCGGAUUCACUGGGCGUAAAGGGUGAGUAGGUGGCCAAGUAUGUCAGGUGUGAAAUCCCGGGGCUUAACCCCGGAACUGCGCCUGAAACUACUUGGCUAGAGUCUCGGAGAGGAUAGUGGAAUUCCAAGUGUAGCGGUGAAAUGCGUAGAUAUUUGGAGGAACACCAGUGGCGAAGGCGACUAUCUGGACGAGUACUGACGCUCAAUCACGAAAGCAUGGGUAGCGAAAGGGAUUAGAUACCCCUGUAGUCCAUGCCGUAAACGUUGCACACUAAGUUUCGGAGGAUUCGACCCCUUCGGAGCUCAAGCUAACGCGUUAAGUGUGCCGCCUGAGGACUACGGCCGCAAGGCUAAAACUCAAAGGAAUUGACGGGGGCCCGCACAAGCGGUGGAGCAUGUGGCUUAAUUCGAGGCAACGCGAAGAACCUUACCCGGGUUUGACAUUGAGCGACGUUCGGUGAAAGUCGAAUUCCCUUCGGGGCGCAAAAACAGGUGCUGCAUGGCUGUCGUCAGCUCGUGCUGUGAAGUGUUCGGUUAAGUCCGGCAACGAGCGCAACCCAUAUCCUUACUUGCUAACAGGUAAUGCUGAGAACCUUAAGGAGACUGCCCGUGUUAAGCGGGAGGAAGGUGUGGACGACGUCAAGUCAGUAUGGCCCUUACACCCGGGGCUGCACACGUGCUACAAUGGCCGGUACAAAGGGCAGCGACAUAGUGAUAUGGAGCGAAUCCCCAAAACCGGUCUCAGUACGGAUUGGAGUCUGCAACUCGACUCCAUGAAGAUGGAAUCGCUAGUAAAUGGGCAUCAGCUACGGCUCAUUGAAUACGUUCCCGGGCCUUGUACACACCGCCCGUCACAUCAUGGGAGCUGAGUUCACCCGAAGUCGUUGCGCCAACCUGCUUGCAGGAGGCAGACGCCGAAGGUGGGCUUAGUGACUGGGAUGAAGUCGUAACAAGGUAGCCGUUGGGGAACCAGCGGCUG